UGUGGGUGAGUGCUGGAAGAUCCAUUAGCAGGGCAUUUCUUUGGGUUUGUUGGAUAUUUUGGUUAGCAGCCCAACAGCCAUUUUUGUAAUCAAGGCAUGUUCGCAUGUGCUUCCCCGAGCCGCGUCGGCUGUCUGCCGCUUGGAACAAUCCCAGAAUUCCCUGCUGACAUGCACAGAACCAGUCCCACAGAGAUGAUGACGGUGAUGAAGAAGAAACAGAAGGACGCAGAGCUCAAUAAAAAGAUUGAGGCCUUACGAAAAAAAAAUGAAGCACUUAUGAAACGCUACCAGGAGGUAGAGGAAGAUAAAAAGCGGGCAGAACAGGAAGGGAUGUCACUGCACAGCAGGAAGGGAAAAUCUGAUGAUCUGACCAUCACCAUCAAUAAAUCAUCCAACGAGCAGCAGCAGCGUGUGGUUACUCCGAGAUCGUGCCCCGCAGGGCCAAACCCCGCAUCACAGCAGGAGGAGGAGUCUGGAGAUCUUGAUUACAGCAUCUUCAGCAUCGGAAGAGGAAAGAGGAGACAACUGCUCAUCACAACAUCUGGAAACAUCAAGGGUAAGAGAGUGUUUGGUGAAAGGAAGGACAGAAAUCGGCCUGUGAGUCCAGUGAGGUUGAAGCCCUCUGUUGAGUCCAGCACACGAGUGAAAUGCCCUUCGUCCACAAAGACACAUGCACCCGAGGGGCCUGAUCCACUCAACUUCGGUGACUCUAACAUCCUUUCGUCCAGAGAAGAGCAGCUGGAGUACCUACGAUGGAAGAAAGAGCGAGGAGAUCGACAGAGAGCGUGUCGCCCGACACAAAAACGCCAAAGGCCAGUGGAGAAGAGCCUGGGACCUGGACAAGACCGAUCUGAUGUUUUCUGAAAAAGCACAUGGAGGAACAGACAGAGAAACACACAACAGAGGAGUUGAAAUUGCCAGAAGAGGAAAUAUGAGGUCCGAAGGAUCCAGACCAAUGGCAGACAGGGGGCGGGGCGGUAGGAGUGUUCGGCAAACCUGUUUAAAAACAGUCAUUGUUUUUGCAAUUGAAUUUAGCGCUAAAAAUGACAUACUUCAGCUUUAAGUGCCACUUAGUACACGAGUAGCGUAUUCACACUUCCGACAAAAGAAUGUGGGCUACACAUUAAAGUAUAGUAGUUAGAUGCACAAAGCUGUAUUAAAAAAAUGUAAUAAUAAUUUUAUAUAUGUGUGUAUAUAUAUUUAACAUGAGAUGAGGUUUGAGAUCCACUGACUAUAUCAAAUAUGUAUAUAUAUUUUCCCCAUUUUUCUCCCAAUUUGGAAUACCGAAUUCCCAAUGUGCUCCAAGUCCUCAUGGAGGCGUAGUGAUUCGCCUCAAUACGGGUGGUGGAGGACGAAUCUCAGUUGCCUCCACGUCUAUCCGCAUCCUAUCACAUGGCUUGUUGAGUGCGUUGCCGUGGAGACAUAGCACAUGUGGAGGCUUCACGCCAUCCACAGCGGUAUCCAAGCACAACUCACCGCACGCCCAACCGAGAACUAACCACAUUAUACCGACCACGAGGAGGUUACCCCAUGUGACUCUACCCUCCCUAGCAACUGGGCCAAUUUGGUUGCUAAGGAGACCUGACUGGAGUCACUCAGCACGCUCUGGGAUUCAAACUGGUAGUCAGCGUCUUUACCACUGAGAUAAAAAUAUCUAAUUUCCGAUGCAUCACGAUCUUCACUUGAACGAACUCGAUAGUGAUUCUUAAAUCCUAAUAUCGAUUCAAGUUAAAGCACGUUUACGUGCAAUUGAAUUGUGCGCUGUCGGGACGCCAAAACUGCCGUCCGGUGCUCGAUACCGUCACGGUCCUGCGAUUUUUGGUCUGGUUUUAAUUCGUGAUGAGGCAGGAUUGUGACCGUUUCCUCUCUUAGGUUGCCCAUGUGCUUUUACUCUUCCCCUUGUGUUUCUCACAGGUGUGUUCAGUCAUCCCAUUCUCUUUAUAUUCUCUCCUUUGUCUUCCCCAUCAGAUCGUUGUGUUGCGUUCAGUCUCCAGUUCCGCUCGUGGUGUUUGCAUCCUGUCCUGUUAUCCCGUCGGUUCGUUCUCCAUUCUGUGUUUGUCUUGUCUUUUUAUUUUUCGCUCAUGAGAGUUUUGCUUGUAUUUUGUUGGUUUUUCAUUUCAAUAAAACUCCUUUCAUUGCCAUCCUGCAUCUUGGGUUCUUCUUCAAAUACUGUAUAUCGUGACAGAUACGCUUUAAACGCACUUGCGCGAUUCAGUUGAAGCCUGAUGAAGACGUCAGAGAAGCUUGCGCGUGUAAUGCGCUCUAUUCUGGUGUAAUUCUGGAGUGCGCGCUUCAACCAGGCUUUCCUCGCAAUCGGCGCUCCAGAGAUGGGAUAGUGCAGAGCUGAACACGUGAUAUCUUGGCGGCUUCUCUUGGUGAUCACAAGGCUUACCUUGAUAUCGUGGUGCAGACUUCUAAGCUAACACCCAUUUGGAUUCUGAAAAUGACAUUAUAUUCAGCACUGAUGAGGAACACCGUGCAUGCGCCAAAAUAUCAUCGCCUUUGCUUGCAUUUAUCACGAUUUUACAGUAACAAUAACUAUUGUAAUUUUACAGAAAUGUUAUAGUAUUAAAUAAUUUAUUAUUCAUUUUUAAAACAAAUGUGGAAGGUGAUAAAAAUAUAUAUAUAUAUAUAUAAUAUAAUAUCUGCCAAUUUAUCGUAUAUUAAGGCAGCAUAUUUAUUGGUGGAAUACGUGGAAUUUCUCCCCAAUUUGGAACGCCCAAUUCCCGAUGCGCUCCAAGUCCUCGUGGUGGCGUAGUGACUCAAUCUGGGGUGCUGGAGGACGAAUCUCAGUUGCCUCCGCGUCUGAGACCGUCAAUCCGCGCAUCUUAUCACGUGACUUGUUGAGCGCGUUACCGUGGAGACGUAGCGCAUGUGGAGGCUUCACGCUAUUCUCCGCAUCAUCCACGCACAACUCGCCACACGCCCCACCGAUAACAAACCACAUUAUAUUGACCACUAGGCAGUUACCCCAUGUGACUCUACCUGCCCUAGCAACCGGGCCAAUUUGGUUGCUAAGGAGACCUGGCUGGAGUCACUCAGGACGCCCUGGAUUCAAACUCGCAACUCCAGGUGUGAUAGUCAGCGUCUUUUACCACUGAGCUACCCAGACCCUAAAAAGCUAAUGAUGAAGUACAAUUUGUAAAAUUAAUAAUUUCAUAAUGCAUCAAGUUAGAAGUUCCCCUGUAUAGUUUACAGCAUUAACGGAGAAAUAAUUUAUUUUAUAUGUCAGCAAAAUGGACAUUGUAUCUGAAAAAUACAAUUACAAAUCAGGAAAUCUGUGUUGAUACCCAGACCAAGUGAUGUUUGGACCGUCAAAUAAAUUAUUUGUAUUUACUAUUGGGUCUUGAGUGCAACAUACCUUACAUUUUACUUAUUUAUUUAAUUUUUUAUUAAUUAAUUCUACAUUUAUUAUUCCUAAUUUGAAGCUGGAAGCGUUAAAAAUUCUGUAAAAUAUUCAAACAAAACACGAAAUACUUUGUAUUCUGUAUGUGCAAGACGGAGCACGUGUAUAUCUAUAGUGUUAAAUUGUUAAAAUAGAAAUUCAUAUUGCAUUUUAUAUAGAAGUCCUCACUGCUGUGGUUCAAGCUCAGUUUCAUGAGAAAUACCCGACUUCAUGCAAUUAAGUUUAUAAAUGUUAUUUCUAGGAUUAGCUCAAAAAUGCAUCAAAAACUGAUACUGUAAAACGAAUUUCUUUCAUUUUGAGUCUCGAGGUGUAACUCGGUAAAUGUGUGAUUUCGGGUUUGUUCUCCGAUCUGAUGGAUAUUAUUAAGGAUUACAUCAUAAAUAUAAUAACAUGAUCACAUUCUGUAUUAUGCUUUAUGGUUUGUGUCAUCAAGCGCGGGACAGGAAGUGUAAGAGUAUUCCAGGGAUGGGCAGUAAAGCGAAGGGUAAAGACCGCCUGACGGGUCGAGCCACAAGAUGUGAUGCUGAAGAACAGGAAGAGCAAUUACAGGUUUAUCUAGAGAGCUGCCUGCAGGAGUUC